rnacentral:rRNA from 1 species
GGAAGCAGCAGUAGGGAUCUUCCGCAAUGGACGAAAGUCUGACGGAACAACGCCGCGUGAGUGAUGAAGUUUUCGGAUCGUAAAGCUCUGUUGUUAGGAAGAACAAGUGCGAGAGUAACUGCUCGCACCUUGACGGUACCUAACCAGAAAGCCACGGCUAACUACGUGCCAGCAGCCGCGGUAAUACGUAGGUGGCAAGCGUUGUCCGGAAUUAUUGGGCGUAAAGGGCUCGCAGGCGGUUUCUUAAGUCUGAUGUGAAAGCCCCCGGCUCAACCGGGGAGGGUCAUUGGAAACUGGGAAACUUGAGUGCAGAAGAGGAGAGUGGAAUUCCACGUGUAGCGGUGAAAUGCGUAGAGAUGUGGAGGAACACCAGUGGCGAAGGCGAUUCUCUGGUCUGUAACUGACGCUGAGGAGCGAAAGCGUGGGGAGCGAACAGGAUUAGAUACCCUGGUAGUCCACGCCGUAAACGAUGAGUGCUAAGUGUUAGGGGGUUUCCGCCCCUUAGUGCUGCAGCUAACGCAUUAAGCACUCCGCCUGGGGAGUACGGUCGCAAGACUGAAACUCAAAGGAAUUGACGGGGGCCCGCACAAGCGGUGGAGCAUGUGGUUUAAUUCGAAGCAACGCGAAGAACCUUACCAGGUCUUGACAUCCUCUGACAACCCUAGAGAUAGGGCUUUCCCUUCGGGGACAGAGUGACAGGUGGUGCAUGGUUGUCGUCAGCUCGUGUCGUGAGAUGUUGGGUUAAGUCCCGCAACGAGCGCAACCCUUGAUCUUAGUUGCCAGCAUUCAGUUGGGCACUCUAAGGUGACUGCCGGUGACAAACCGGAGGAAGGUGGGGAUGACGUCAAAUCAUCAUGCCCCUUAUGACCUGGGCUACACACGUGCUACAAUGGACAGAACAAAGGGCUGCAAGACCGCAAGGUUUAGCCAAUCCCAUAAAUCUGUUCUCAGUUCGGAUCGCAGUCUGCAACUCGACUGCGUGAAGCUGGAAUCGCUAGUAAUCGCGGAUCAGCAUGCCGCGGUGAAUACGUUCCCGGGCCUUGUACACACCGCCCGUCACACCACGAGAGUUUGCAACACCCGAAGUCGGUGAGGUAACCUUUAUGGAGCCA